rnacentral:SRP_RNA from 1 species
GCCAUGACAGCGCACACUUUUAAGCCCUGCUACUGGCAAGGCUGAGGCUGGUGAAUCAGUUGAGCUUGGGAAUUCUGAAUUGCAGCAAGCUAUGCUGAUUGAGUGUCUACACUAUAUCUAGCACCAAUAUGGUGAGCUCCAAGAGGAGGCCACCAAAUCCCCUAAGGAGAGGUGACCUGACCCACGUCAGAAACAGAACCUGUCAAAGCUCCCAUGAUGAGUAGCAGUGAGAUCUAGCCUAUGAGAAGCCUUUGUACUUCCAGCCAGGGUAGGAUAGGGAGAAACAGUCUUA